rnacentral:rRNA from 1 species
CAAGUAGUCAGAGCCCGUUAAUGGGUGAUGGCGUGCCUUUUGUAGAAUGAACCGGCGAGUUACGAUUUGAUGCAAGGUUAAGCAGUAAAUGUGGAGCCGUAGCGAAAGCGAGUCUGAAUAGGGCGUUUAGUAUUUGGUCGUAGACCCGAAACCAGGUGAUCUACCCUUGGUCAGGUUGAAGUUCAGGUAACACUGAAUGGAGGACCGAACCGACUUACGUUGAAAAGUGAGCGGAUGAACUGAGGGUAGCGGAGAAAUUCCAAUCGAACCUGGAGAUAGCUGGUUCUCUCCGAAAUAGCUUUAGGGCUAGCCUCAAGUGAUGAUUAUUGGAGGUAGAGCACUGUUUGGACGAGGGGCCCCUCUCGGGUUACCGAAUUCAGACAAACUCCGAAUGCCAAUUAAUUUAACUUGGGAGUCAGAACAUGGGUGAUAAGGUCCAUGUUCGAAAGGGAAACAGCCCAGACCACCAGCUAAGGUCCCAAAAUAUAUGUUAAGUGGAAAAGGAUGUGGCGUUGCCCAGACAACUAGGAUGUUGGCUUAGAAGCAGCCAUCAUUUAAAGAGUGCGUAAUAGCUCACUAGUCGAGUGACACUGCGCCGAAAAUGUACCGGGGCUAAACAUAUUACCGAAGCUGUGGAUUGUCCUUUGGACAAUGGUAGGAGAGCGUUCUAAGGGCGUUGAAGCAUGAUCGUAAGGACAUGUGGAGCGCUUAGAAGUGAGAAUGCCGGUGUGAGUAGCGAAAGAUGGGUGAGAAUCCCGUCCACCGAUUGACUAAGGUUUCCAGAGGAAGGCUCGUCCGCUCUGGGUUAGUCGGGUCCUAAGCUGAGGCCGACAGGCGUAGGCGAUGGAUAACAGGUUGAUAUUCCUGUACCACCUAUAAUCGUUUUAAUCGAUGGGGGGACGCAGUAGGAUAGGCGAAGCGUGCGAUUGGAUUGCACGUCUAAGCAGUAAGGCUGAGUAUUAGGCAAAUCCGGUACUCGUUAAGGCUGAGCUGUGAUGGGGAGAAGACAUUGUGUCUUCGAGUCGUUGAUUUCACACUGCCGAGAAAAGCCUCUAGAUAGAAAAUAGGUGCCCGUACCGCAAACCGACACAGGUAGUCAAGAUGAGAAUUCUAAGGUGAGCGAGCGAACUCUCGUUAAGGAACUCGGCAAAAUGACCCCGUAACUUCGGGAGAAGGGGUGCUCUUUAGGGUUAACGCCCAGAAGAGCCGCAGUGAAUAGGCCCAAGCGACUGUUUAUCAAAAACACAGGUCUCUGCUAAACCGUAAGGUGAUGUAUAGGGGCUGACGCCUGCCCGGUGCUGGAAGGUUAAGAGGAGUGGUUAGCUUCUGCGAAGCUACGAAUCGAAGCCCCAGUAAACGGCGGCCGUAACUAUAACGGUCCUAAGGUAGCGAAAUUCCUUGUCGGGUAAGUUCCGACCCGCACGAAAGGCGUAACGAUUUGGGCACUGUCUCAACGAGAGACUCGGUGAAAUCAUAGUACCUGUGAAGAUGCAGGUUACCCGCGACAGGACGGAAAGACCCCGUGGAGCUUUACUGUAGCCUGAUAUUGAAAUUCGGCACAGCUUGUACAGGAUAGGUAGGAGCCUUUGAAACGUGAGCGUUAGCUUACGUGGAGGCGCUGGUGGGAUACUACCCUAGCUGUGUUGGCUUUCUAACCCGCACCACUUAUCGUGGUGGGAAACAGUGUCAGGCGGGCAGUUUGACUGGGGCGGUCGCCUCCUAAAAGGUAACGGAGGCGCUCAAAGGUUCCCUCAGAAUGGUUGGAAAUCAUUCAUAGAGUGUAAAGGCAUAAGGGAGCUUGACUGCGAGACCUACAAGUCGAGCAGGGUCGAAAGACGGACUUAGUGAUCCGGUGGUUCCGCAUGGAAGGGCCAUCGCUCAACGGAUAAAAGCUACCCCGGGGAUAACAGGCUUAUCUCCCCCAAGAGUUCACAU